rnacentral:rRNA from 1 species
GACGAACGCUGGCGGCGUGCCUAAUACAUGCAAGUCGAACGAAAGCGACCGGUGCUUGCACUGGUCACGCUAGGCGAGAACGGGAGAGUAACACGAGGGAAACCCGCUCAACAGUGGGGGAAAACAACGGGACACGGGUGAUUAAAGCGCAGAGGUCUUCGAGCCGCGGGGGUUGAAGGGGAAAAGCGGCGCAAGGGGAUGGAGACGGGGGGAACCGCGGUGCAGUAGCGAGUUGGGGAGAUAAUGGCUGACCAAGGCCGCGAGUCAUAGACGACCUGAGAGGGUGAUCGGCCACCUUGGGACUGAGACACGGCCCUAGCUCCUACGGGAGGCAGCAGUAGGGAAUCUUCCGCAAUGGACGCAAGUCUGACGGAGCAACGCCGCGUGAGUGACGAAGGUUUUCGGAUCGUAAAACUCUGUUGUUAGUGAAGAACAAGUGCUAGAUUAACUGUUAGCGCCUUGACGGUAUCUAACCAGAAAGCCCCGGCUAACUACGUG